rnacentral:rRNA from 1 species
GAUGAACGCUGGCGGCGUGCCUAAUACAUGCAAGUCGAGCGAACAGACGAGGAGCUUGCUCCUCUGACGUUAGCGGCGGACGGGUGAGUAACACGUGGAUAACCUACCUAUAAGACUGGGAUAACUUCGGGAAACCGGAGCUAAUACCGGAUAAUAUAUUGAACCGCAUGGUUCAAUAGUGAAAGACGGUUUUGCUGUCACUUAUAGAUGGAUCCGCGCCGCAUUAGCUAGUUGGUAAGGUAACGGCUUACCAAGGCAACGAUGCGUAGCCGACCUGAGAGGGUGAUCGGCCACACUGGAACGGAGACACGGUCAAGACUCCUACGGGAGGCAGCAGUAGGGAAUCUUCCGCAAUGGGCGAAAGCCUGACGGAGCAAAGCCGCGUGAGAGAUGAAGGUCUUCGGAUCGUAAAACUCUGUUAUUAGGGAAGAACAAAUGUGUAAGUAACUAUGCACGUCUUGACGGUACCUAAUCAGAAAGCCACGGCUAACUACGUG